UCAAUAUAAGAUUGAUAUUUCAAAGAACUAAAUACUUCUACAUAUGUUUGUUCUUGUAAGAAAAAAUAAUAAGCAAGUCAUUAAUUAUAUUCUAAUCCUACUAGUUAUGACUUUUGAAUAGUCCGAUCUUCCAAUAGUACUUGUAUUGAAGCAAUGGUUCAAUUGUGCAUGUUCAUCCUGCAAAUAAAAGAUAAAUAUAAUUAUAAUUUGACAAAGUAAGUUAUAAUAAAAUACACAAAUAUAAAUCUCAAAAGUAGAGAUAUUCACAUGAAUGCACUCACAAAUACACCCACACAAACUUUAAUCUCCUAAUAAAUCUCCUUACUCUCCUGAUAAAUCACCUUAUUUCAUUUGAAAAUGACCAAAAUCAGACACUCAUUAAAUUAUAUACAGAAGAGAGACUGAGAUGUUCCAGAUUUGGUAAAGGAUCAUCAAACUUUGUGGAUUAUUAAAGCUGUUUUGAGACUUUCUUUUCCACAAUUGGAUGUAGAUUUGAGUUGGCUCAAACUUUGCGACGUUAUUGAACUCCUCAAACCUGUCCCUCUUUUGAAACAAGUCCACUGGAUCAAACCAGUCAUAGGUAUGAACAAGUUAAAUACAGAUGGAAGUUUUAUUCAUUCAACCGGAAAGGCAGACUUGGGGGAAUUCUUAGAGAUGAAGAAGGAGACGUCAUUUUUGCUUUCUCUAUGCCUGUUCAGAGUAAUAGCAGAAAUAUGGCAGAAGCGUUGGCAGCUAAAUUUGUCUUAGACCAUUGCAUUCAACAUGGAGUACAUAAUAUUUCUUUGGAAUUGGACUCAAUGUUGAUCACUAUUCUCAUAAAGCAAGGUCACUCUAGCAAUAUCUUUCUGAAGCCUAUUAUAGAUGACAUCAAUGAGAUGGUGAAGGAUGCAAAUAUUGAAUUUUCUCACUGUUAUAGAGAAUAAAAUCAUGUCGCAAAUGGUUUAUCAAAGUUCGCAACUACAUUAAAUAAGCCUAAAUUCAUCAAUCAAUACCACGAUUUGCCCCAAGAUUAUAAGGGCCUUAUCACCUUGAUAAAUGUCAAAUGCCAAGUUUUAGGAUACGCUAUGACAAAGCAAAUUUCUUCGUCAGCUAAUCUCAAUGCUCCUUUUUCUUUCAUGGGAGAAUUUUUUUGUUAUGUAUAUGGUAGAAGAGCAUUCGCUCUUAGAAUAUCCCAUUUUUUUGUGUAUCACACAUUGUGUGUUGUGGAGGUAAGGCUCACAUUCCCCUCCAUUUAUGUACUUGCCUUUUAAGUUAUAAAUAUUUUUUCCUUGAAAAAAAAACCCAUCAUAUUUAUUAUUUCAAGGCUAGAAAAUUUCUGGAAAAAUCCUUGGCCGAUACUACUCUCCAAAUCAGAUGCAGACAUAUUUAAUAACCUCAGAUUUGUCAAUUUAUGCAUUCCUAUCGGCAGACAGCGUAACUGUGUAUUAUCACAAUCAAGCAAUUGCAAAUUACAAAGAUUAUCAAUAUCUGGUAACUCUUUCAACUCAUUGCAUUUUUGUAGUAUUAGAGAACGUAGUUGACAUAAACUAUUAAUGGAAGAAGGCAGUGCUCUAAUACUAAUAUGACUCAGAUUCACAACUCUUAGAGCUGGAAAUGCAAAACAAGAGAUAUUUAGGCAACAUACCUCACUUGAUUUCUUGUUUUCCAGCUCUACAAUUUUUUCCUCAAGUAAUGAUUUUUUACUCAAAAGCCUCUUUUUUGUUUCUUCUGCGGUACGCAACAUAGAACGAGCUUUCAGCUCUUCAUGGAUCUUUUCAAAGACCUGCAAUUAGUGAAGUCACAUGAGUGAAAUCCGUACAAGUUCACAUGUCAGUCUAUGUAUUCGGACUUGAAAAGUAUACAGAGAUUAACUUGAGGUCUCAUUAUUUUUUGAAUUCAGUAAAUUAAUGUCAACAUUUGUACAUAAGCUGUCAUGCACCCCUACACAUUUGGAUUGAGCACAGUUGUUGAAAUGUACAUAACAUCUUGAAGGAGAAAAGCUACUAAUACAAAUAAAAGGUUCAUCCACUCUAAUUGUGCACAUAAACAGAUGUAAGAAAAGCAACUCUGUCCACAAUUUCCUUAGUCUAAUUCUUGGAUAUCGUCAUCAAUCCCAACCCCGCUGUGAGCUUACUGACCCAUAUAAUUUUGACCAUAGUGACAUAUAUUCCACAAACAACAUAUUGUGGUGAACUCAGGAAUCUAGUUGUGUUCUAUUAAGUACUGUUGAGACUUGAGAUGAAGGAUUAAAGGUUCCUAAUGUGAAAGAUUGGCUAAAGUGUUUUUUUUUGGUGAAGUGAAAGAUUGGCUAAAGUAUGGAUGUACAGUACAUGUUAUUGGUAAAAAGAAACAUAUGUAAAUAGAUGCACUAGAAAUAAGAAACAGCAUUGAUGAAUGCUCACAGGAAUAUUGAUUUUUUUCAUGAAGGGCAUUCCCUACCUUGUGCUGUCAGAUAAUACAACAUGAUGCCAAUGAGAUCCAAUAGUUCUUGAAGGAGAAGAAGGAUCUACACUAUGCAAUUGCAAAUGAAUUUGGA
rnacentral:lncRNA from 1 species